UGCUUUGAAUAUGCAUUAGCAAUAGUGGCUCCACACUAUGCAGUGAUACCCAGCUUCCAUUUGCUACUUUUAAUUAAUAAUUGAAGGAGGAUACACAAAAGCAUAAAGGUGCCACAUGUUAAAGAGCCCAAAGGCCAGAAGCCAAUGUGGUUGGAAGUCCAUGGGAAGAGCUGAAGAGGAAUAGUGCACACUGAAAAAAGAAUGGAAGGCUCAAAGAGGAAAGGAAAACACAUCCAAACACCUACCAUCACCUGAGUGAUUCCACUUGAAGGCAGGACCCUGUUGGCAGUGUCAGCUCUCACCAUCAAUCCAGAAUGUGUAAGGAACAAAAUGCCAUAAGAAUCUAGAAGAUCCUUCAUUCAGAAUUUAGUGCAGAACUUUGCACGUAGAUAUGUGUUCAGAAUGGCUAGGCAGCA